CUGCAUGUCUCCGGCAGCUGCGUUGCCUUCUACGCUAGACAAUUAUAUCAUACAUCCGCUAAGGGUAACUACAAGGUGUUCUUCACGGAGCUCAAUUGAGCUGAAUUAGUCGAGUUGUUGGGUAAGCUAACUAAGCAUCCUUUUGGAACUAUGCUUUCAUCACGUAUUUGAAAGAUAGCAGAACAUACAUUUCAUCCACAUGCAAAGAACUGAAGUAAUUAAAGAUAGUGUGAAUUAGUACAAUUUACUGCAGAUUCAAGAACUAUUGUAAACAUUGCAAUGGAAUACUUCAGAUUUAGUAGAAUUUGUUGUAAGGUAAUGAUAUUACGUAUAUAAAUGAUUGAAAACAAUUUAAUUAGUUGUUUCCUUCUGUGUUAUUUUUAAAAUAUAAUUUCACAGAAUUAGCCUUUUGAUUCAUUUUGUUUUCUAUGAUAAAUUUGUGAUUACUAUGUCAAAUGUAAGAAACCUAUAUAUUAAGAUGCUUUUCUUCAUGUAAAUUGUGUAGACCUUAGAUUACUAGGUUGAUUGUAUUCUCUUAGCAUUGCUCAUCGUGCCUUGAAAGAAUGUGUUUCCAACAGUGCUAGAACUGUUUAAAAAUGUCAGGAAUGAUAUCGUCCGCAUCAUCAGUUGAUGAGAGAAAUAUGUGCAGAAGAUUUUUAUAGGAUCAUUCUAGGCUUAGACAUAAGUUGUAGAUAAUUGAUUUACAUCCAAUAACAACCUAGAAAGUGUUUGACACUCAAGAUAUAAAAUUGACUUUGGAAUCAAGAAGUUUUUAUUCCAUAUGUAUAUAUGACUAUCAUAUAUGCUAGACUAUCAUAUAAUUAUAUACGAUCAUUAAGUAUCCACUAUUCACAAUCACGUACGACUAGAAGGUUUUUACAAGAUUGUGAUGUAGCAGCUGGGCAUGCCGGGCCACAUAUCAUGAAAUCCCUCCUCUCUUCUCCAUCUUGAUGAAUUCAGCGGAGAGACACCAAUAUUUUUGCUUUAUUUGUAAUUUCUCAUCAAGACAUUUUUUUUGGUUUUGUACAUUUUUCACGACACAACGCUUACCAGACUAUGAAUUAUAGGGAGUGAAGGAGAACCAACCAGCUGAGAUAAUCUAUGUGGCAUUUGCUGCCAACUAGCAGAGUUGUGUACAUAUAGAAAUCAACCACUGUCAGCCAAAUCUUUUUGAUGUUUAUAGAAGCUUUAUAGACGUUUUCCUAAGUAAAGGAUUUCGAGAUUGUACGUUUUUUCCAAUAUGUGCUAACUUUCAGAUUAUCUGCAUGUAUAACAAACAUUUCUUUUGUCCAGGAAUAAGAAACAUAUCUUAUAAAGUGUAUAAUAUUUUAUUGGUAGAUUUGUAAGAUUUAAGUAUUGUUGGUUGUGCAAGAAAAUAGCUUCAUGUAUGGAUUAUUGAGUUACACAUGCUUCUGUUUAUGGUUUGUUUGUUGUAUUUGGAAACAGAUCUAGAUAGAUGAUCUUUAUAAUACAGAACAUUCAUAUUAAAAUUUUCCUGUGUUUUUAGCCAUGUAUUCCAUAUUAUCAUUGUUUUUUUAGUAAUAUGUGUGAUCCUUCCUUUGCAGUUACAGUAUUCAGAUAGCAUAGUUUCCACUUACAGAAAAUAUGCUAAAAGAAUUUUCAGUUACACUUUCCGAGUGCCCUCACAAUGAUUUUCAUGUUUCUUGCAAGGGCUUCUACAUAAGGAUAAAUCUGUUCUAAAAAAUAGUAGAUUUAUGUAGUCCCAUUAUGCGCAGCAAUAUUCACGCAUGCCUCUACAUCUACUUCAUUGAAUAGUAAUCUGCAAUCUUCAUUAGCAUAGAACAACAAAAUCUGUGAGAAAACUUACACAUCUUUAUCUCAAAUCGUUAAAUGGGUUUAGGUACUACCAAUUUCAAUAUGGUCGCUUAUGUUUCUUUUGUCAUUGAUAGUUUCUCACAAGUCCUAACUUCUACAGGUAAGGAAUUGAUUUACCUCUUGAUAGUUUUCUUUCCUUUGGAAUUUAUCUUUCUGUUGCAACCAAAUUACAUUAUUAUUUUCUGUAAAUCGAAGUUGAAAUCCAUGGUUUCUCUAUGCUGGUAAAAAAUAAAGUACCCAAUCUCUUUUCUUAACACAAUAUGCAUCUUAUCUUCUCUCAUGUAAGCAAUCUCGAUAAGACUCCUCUAUCUUUAAACCACACUCAAGUCCAUGGUUUUCCUCGGCGCGACAAACUAUAGUUGGAUCAGUGCUUCAAAAGACGUGGCGUGGGCUUGAAGGAUAUGCCGAAGGCAUCCGAUGGUUGGAGGGAUCGCCAAGGGGAGGUUCCCAGGGUUAUGAACUACCAAGUAAUUUGUAUUUUCUUUAUUACUGUAUUUUUUGUUUGUCCUAAAUACUAGAUUCAUAUUUCUUGCUUUCCAUUGUUUGUAAUAUUAUCCAAACUCCUCACGUGUUUAUGUUGCUUGAAUAUUUCAGACUGAGUUAGAAGUAAACCACAUGUCUUUCAUAGUACUUCUGGAUGGUCAUAGCUAAAAUGAUAGCCUGGCUGUGUACACUAUUUGGUCACAGCUAAAAUGAUAGCCUGGUUGUGUACACUACUUCAAGAAUUUCUCUGACCAACCACUGUUACUUAUAAACUACAGAGGCUCACUGGCCUAUCCACAACUAUUUCAGAUUGUUAAACCUCGCCUAAUCUCAUUGUAUCUUUUUGCAUUAUGUUUUGGCUAGAAUUAUCAUACAUGAUUUAUCUUUGUCUCUUUCAUACACAUUCUUUCUGCAUGAGAAUUGAGGAGGCUAAACAAUGGCAUAAAUCAGAACAGUGACACACUUAUCAUGAGAUGGUACUUCUGUACAAACAGGGUAAGAAAGCUAUUGGAAUUUGGUGAACUUAUUAAUCGGUGAUGUUGUAAUAACUGACAAAGAGGUUGCUGAGUUCAGUCUUACAAAUAGAAAGAUGCAUGGGUACUUCUGCCCAGUCUCUAUUUGGUUUUCAGUAGUGAAGCUACAACUACUUUUUGUUUUUAGUAUGAAAAAUCCAAUUUUUGCACAUUGUUAGCCAGAUUCUCAAAUGAUUUUGAAGACCUUUAGUCUCUAUUUUGUACGCCCAUGGAGAUGCUUGCUAAGUACAGUUGCAUCACAAAAUCUUAUGUGUGUUGUGGACUAUUCUUACCCGUUGAUAAUGCUACUUAGGAAACCACUUGGAUGCCAUCGCAGAACAGAGAAAGAGGCGCUAUGGACUAGGGUUUACAUGCUGGCUACGACCGACUGAAAACAUAAGACAUGGAUUGACACAGAAACAUGGUAUUAAAAAUUCCGUACUCCAAUAUAAUCUAGAAAAUAAUGAGUCGGCCUUUCCUUCAUGAGCUUAUUUUCUUUAUGGUUCAUGUACAGAAAAAGAAAUAAACAUUAUAGCCCAGAUGAUAAGAACAGUGGUUUCUCUCAACGACGCACGCUUAAUUGGCAGAGUAUGCUCCUAGCAUAUACUAGGUUAAGUGAUGUUUCAGAAUACACAUGGAAAGUGACUUGAUGGAAGCUAAGAAAAAAUAUACUGUAUCUCAAUCUAAGUGGCAACCAGUUCCAACGUGUAUAAUUAUUAUGUGCUAAUGCACAAAAGUCCUCAAGUAUAUCACUCAUCAUGUCACUAGCUUCCUGUUCAUGGCGCGCCCAUGCUGCUGUAUGUUCUUACCAGAUUGAACUCCUUCAGUAACUACCUUAAUUCCUGCAGCUAUGGCCUACAUGCUACUAUAUUAUCCUUGAGCUUAGUUUUAUUUGGAAGGGAGAAAGGAAGGAAUGUUGAUGACCCACCAUCCAGCGGCCAACCCAAUGCAAGGUAGAAGUACGAUAAAUCAAGACUAUGGUCUAUUAAUUUGCCUGCUUGAAUACAAAAUGCGUUUAUCUUGCAUGGGUGGAUGAUUCAUGAAUUUAUAUAUGUUACCCGAAAAAAAGAAUUUAUAUAUGUGAACAAUUCAUUAGCUCCUUGAUGUAUUAAUAUAAUUAUUUUUAUGUAACAUCUGUUAGAUAUAAUCUUCACAUUGUGUAUAUACACGUACUUCGGAAACACAAAUAAAGGAAUUUCCAUUGUUGCUUAGUUAAGAGAAAGGAUAAGAACAAAGUAAACAAUACUCAAUUGACGUAUAAACAAAUUAAAGGAAUUUUCAUUGUUGCAUAGUGAAAUUUCUAAAAAGACUUAUAU
rnacentral:lncRNA from 1 species